CUUGUGAUUCUUGCCCUGCCGGUGCUUCAGAGCCAGCUUAGAAAGGAAAGAAGUCCCCAGUUAACCACAUGGAGCAAGUUCCUCCCUGUGUCACCCUAUUCCUUCUUUUCCUCACAGUAUCUAUAAACCAUGCGCUCAAGCUCUAUAUCAGUUCUGGAGAAAUGAUCACAGUCCUCACAGCAGGGAGCUAGCAGGACUCACAUGGGCCACGCGGAUGCCAGUGCAGAAGGUGAUCUUGCCCUUGGGUUGGACGGUGUGGAGCUUAGAGAGGAUGCGGCCAGUGUCAGGGGUGAGUGUGGUCAGCACCUCACAGUCACUAGGUGUGAGCAAAGCAUUUCCGUGAGUUCAGAUCACAUAGGCCUCCUAACCACUCCAUUCACCUUUUCUCUUCUUCCUUCCUUCCCCCACCCUCACCCCCAGGGCUUCUCUGUGAAGUUCUGGCUGUCCUGGAACUCACUCUGUAGACCAGGCUGGCUUCAAACUCAGAGAUCCGCCUGUCUCUGCCUCUCCAGUGCUGAGAUUAAAGGCGUGUUCCACCAUCA